GCCCAAUUGGUCUAGUGGUAUGAUUCUUCCUUCGGGUUAACAUUAAUCCGGGAUCCGAGAUCCCAAUCUGGAAGAGGCCCCGCGUUCGAAUCGCGGAUUGGGCC